rnacentral:rRNA from 1 species
UACGAAGGGGGCUAGCGUUGCUCGGAAUUACUGGGCGUAAAGCGCACGUAGGCGGCUUUCUAAGUCGGGGGUGAAAUCCUGGAGCUCAACUCCAGAACUGCCUUCGAUACUGGAAAGCUCGAGUCCGGGAGAGGUGAGUGGAACUGCGAGUGUAGAGGUGAAAUUCGUAGAUAUUCGCAAGAACACCAGCGGCGAAGGCGGCUCACUGGCCCGGUACUGACGCUGAGGUGCGAAAGCGUGGGGAGCAAACAGG